AGCGAACGUUUGCGGCGGGCUUAACACAUGCAAGUCGAACGAGAAUCCCUUCGGGGAGGAAAGUGGCGCACGGGUGCGUAACACGUGGAUAACCAACCCAUUGGUUUGGGACAACACCGGGAAACUGGUGCUAAUACCAGAUGUGUCGCAGCUGUCUUCAGGCGGUGGCGAGAAAGGCCCGCAAGGGUCGCCAACGGACGGGUCCGCGUCCCAUCAGCUAGUUGGUGAGGUAAUGGCUCGCCAAGGCAAAGACGGGUAGCUGGUCUGAGAGGAUGAUCAGCCACACUGGAACUGAGACACGGUCCAGACUCCUACGGGAGGCAGCAGUGGGGAAUAUUGCGCAAUGGGCGAAAGCCUGACGCAGCCACGCCGCGUGAGCGAUGAAGGUCUUCGGAUCGUAAAGCUCUGUGGGGGGAGAAGAAGAAAGCCGGUGAAGAGCCGGCCCUGACGGUAUCCCCUUAGCAAGCACCGGCUAACUCCGUGCCAGCAGCCGCGGU
rnacentral:rRNA from 1 species